CUGCACGCGCAAUACAAUAGAGCAGNUAGUAUGCGUCCAGAGAUGGACAAGUGUAAUNUGCUCUGUAGCUGGGAUAAGUCUUUGUAAAUAGACUUUGAACGAGGAAUUCCUAGUAGUCGCAGGUCAUUAUGCUGCGACGAAUGCGUCCCUGUUCUUUGUACACACCGCCCGUCGCUAUCUAAGAUGGAUGCAUUGCCGAAAAGGUUGGAUCGCGAGAGAAGACUCUUGAGCCUGUGCAACUAAAUAAGAUAUAAGUCGUAACAAGGCUACUGUAGGUGAACCUGCCGUAGGAUCAAUCAACAAAACUAAAAAUACAAAAUUAAUCAAUCUGCCGGCAAGGGAUCUCUAGGCUUCUACAGCGACGAAGAACGCAGACGUGUGCGAUAUGCAGAGCGUAUCUCAACAACCUCUGAUUUUCGAAUGUACUUUUGUUAGUAGAUUACCCCUCAGACUUAAGCAUAUUACUAAAGGGUGGAAAGGAAACUAACCAGGACUCCCGUAGUAGUGGCGAAUGAACUGGGAACAGCCCGCAUGGUAAACUUUUAGAAGUGUUGUAUAUAAUAGUGUGCGAAGAUGCUGGAAUGCAUCCCCAGAGACGGUGACAGGCCGGUAGCAGCAGUUAUAGCGGUGUUGAGUAGUCCUGCUUGGUAAUGCAGGAUGAAUUGGGUGGUUGUGACGAUCCAAGGCUAAGUAUUGUAGAAGACCGAUAGCAAACAAGUAUCGCGAGAGAAAGAUUAAGUNNUNGUCCGAAGGGACAACGAAGAG
rnacentral:rRNA from 1 species